GGGAUUGUGGCUCAGUGGUAGAGCGCUCACCUCGCACGUGUGAACCACCUGGGCUCAAUCCUCAGCAUCACA
rnacentral:tRNA from 1 species